rnacentral:rRNA from 1 species
AUUGAACGCUAGCGGGAUGCUUUACACAUGCAAGUCGAAUGGCAGCGCGGACUUCGGUCUGGCGGCGAGUGGCGAACGGGUGAGUAAUGUAUCGGAACGUGCCCAGUAGCGGGGGAUAACUACGCGAAAGCGUAGCUAAUACCGCAUACGCCCUACGGGGGAAAGCAGGGGAUCGUAAGACCUUGCACUAUUGGAGCGGCCGAUAUCGGAUUAGCUAGUUGGUGAGGUAACGGCUCACCAAGGCGACGAUCCGUAGCUGGUUUGAGAGGACGACCAGCCACACGGGGAGUGAGAACGGGCCCAAGACCCAAGGGGGGGCAGGGGGGGGGAAUUUUGGAAAAGGGGGGCAACCCUGAACCAGCCACCCCGGGGGGGGGAGGAAGGCCUUUGGGUUGUAAAGCAUUUUGGGGAGGAAAAAAACGGGGCGGGUAAAACCCCCGGGGAACGGAGGGGACCGGAAAAAAAAGCCCGGGCUAAUUAGGG